rnacentral:tRNA from 1 species
GUUAAUGUAGCUUAAUAGUUUAAAGCAAGACACUGAAAAUGUCUAGACGGGUAACACCUACCCCAUAAACA